rnacentral:rRNA from 1 species
UACGGAGGAUGCAAGCGUUAUCCGGAAUUAUUGGGCGUAAAGCGUCCGCAGGCGGCUGUGUAAGUCUGCUGUUAAAUAGUGAGGCUCAACCUCAUAAAGGCAGUGGAAACUACACGGCUAGAGUGCGUUCGGGGCAGAGGGAAUUCCUGGUGUAGCGGUGAAAUGCGUAGAGAUCAGGAAGAACACCGGUGGCGAAAGCGGCAUCCUGGACCGGCAUUGACGCUGAGGAGCGAAAGCCAGGGGAGCAAACGGG